AUGCUGCCGCUGCUUUUGUCACCGCAGUGUCACCAGCAUGUCGUGACAUUGUCACCACAGUGCCACCACCUUGUCACCAUGUUGUCACCACUGUGUCGCGACAUUGUCACCAUCCUGCCACCAUCAUGCCACUUUGUCACCAUGUUGUCACUGCUGUGUCGCGACAUUGUCACCAUCCUGUCACCAUCAUGCCACCUUGUCACCAUGUUGUCACCAUCCUGUCGCGACAUUGUCACCACAGUGUCACCACGUUGUCACUGUCACGUUGUCACACUGCCACCAUGUUGUCACCAUUGUGUCGUGACAUUGUCACCACGUCGUCCCCGUCACAGUGUCACACUGUCACCAACAUGUCACCACGCUGCCACCAUCCUGUCGCGACAUUGUCCCCAACUCGUCCCCAUGUUGUCACCAUCGCGUCGCCAUCUUGUCUCAGAACUGUCCCCAACUUGUCACCAUGCUGUCACGACAUUGUCGCCACCUUGUCACCGUGUUGUCACGACAUUGUCGCCACCUUGUCACCAUGCUGCCGCCAUCUUGUCUCAAAGUUGUCCCCAACUUGUCACCGUUGUGUCACCACUCUGUCCCCAACUUGUCCCCAUCUUGUCACCAAUCUUGUCCCCAUCUUGUCACCGUGUUACCGCCAUCUUGUCUCAAAGUUGUCCCCAACUUGUCACCAUGUUGUCCCCAACUUGUCCCCACAUUGUCCCCAACUUGUCCCCAUCUU
rnacentral:lncRNA from 1 species